CAUAUGAAAUUUCAAAAAUUACUUAGGGGUGUAUUAGACAUUUAUUUGAGUAGUUAUUGAAGAUAAUUGGGAGAAGUAUUAAAAUACUUUAAUUGUGUAUUUCAGUAGAAAAUGAGACUUUGAAGGAUAAGGAGAAUUGAGUCAAGAAAAAGAAGAUUCACAUAAGAUAAACAAUGCUAAGAAGAAAAAAGAUUCCAAACCAGGAAAGUUCAAUGUCAGGAAGAAACCAUGUAGUAUGGACAAAUGAAAUGGAAAAUGUGUUGAUAAAUGCUAUGUUGGAAGAAAAUCAUAAAGGGAAUCGACCUGAAGGAGCAUGGAAUACUAGAGCUUUUGACAAUAUGUUACAAGUGUUAAGGGUAGCAUUUGGUCCUGUUAUUCAAAAAUCAAAUAUUAAGAAUCGAAUGAAGACAUUAAAGCGAACCUUUGCUGAGUGUAAGGAUUUAUUUCAUGGUCUUAGUGGCUUUGCUUGAAAUCCUAUAACAAAAUUGUUUGAAGCUAUUUUGAUGUUUGGGAGCAAUUAAUUCAGGAAAAACCCGAAGCACGCAAGUGGAUGCAUACACCAAUCAAUAGUUAUGACAAACUAUAUAAAUUUUAUGGUGACCAAAGAGCUGCAGGUGAAUAUGCAGAAAGUGCAAGAGAAAAGGUUAGACGCUGACAACGGGAGGAAAGUUCAUCUCAAAUUUAUUUGAAUGACACAUUUAAAAAUGUAAUAAUGUCUGACAGUGAGUUCAAUUGAGCUAAUGAGGUCACUGAUAACAAUAUGAAUAGUCCUGAACCUUCACUUCAU